CCACAGUAGUUCAAGGGCAAAACUGGAAUACUCUUGACAGAAAUGUGAAAUCACUGGGCUGAUGGUACGUGCUGGAUUAUGAACUGGGGUCCUGACAACAUGUCUUCCAUCCAUGAGAAGCCUUUCCAAGGAGAAUGACCCUGGCAAUAACAGAGAAUGAACCUCGUUUGCAUACCUGGAAAUAACCAGCUUAAGAUAAUGAAUUUGCCAGAGAGACCUAUUUGGGGGUGGCGAAUCCUCCUCCCCUACAGCAGGAACUGAGAGAGACAAACGUGAAGAUGGCUGAGGAAAAGCAGAGGAAGAAAGCACCUUUGAAGGCUGAUCGUGGAAUUGACAUGGCAUCUUUGAAGAGCAGAAAGAGUGUCUCUGUAACUGAGCCAAGGGAGUGAGAAGAAGACCAAAGAGGUCUUGAAAUUAUAUCGCUGCACCAGAAUGCCUCUAACUUCUUCACCCACGAAACUGCCACAGACACUCAAGCUUACAUGGAGCUUUCUCUUUUUUCCAUCCCCUGCAUCACACUGCCUCGCCCCGCCAGAAGAAGUCCCAGCCUGUCUUGCGCCUUGUAUCAGUUAUCUAUUUUAUCUAUCUAUCUAUCAUCCAUCCAUCCUUCCAUCUAUUAUCUAUUAGUUACAAACCACUUAGUAGCUUAAAACAAUCAUAUUCAUAUUCCAAAAUAUAUGUCCCAAGAUAUUUAUUAGCUUUAAAGGAAGAACAAUAACAUAAAAAUGGAGAAAUCAGAAAGAAACCACCUUGACCAGUAGAUCAAGGUGAACAGCACUAGUAAUAAGCCAACUUCAAAUGCUGCACUUUCUGAUAUGAUGGACGGAGAAGGGCUUCACGUCAUUCCUAAAAUGCAAAAUCUCAGCCAAACCCCAACUGAGGGACAUUUUGCCAAAUAACUGACCAGUCCUCUUCAAAAUGUCAAAGUCAUAAAAGAUAAGGAAUGACUGAGGAACUGCUAUAGAUUGGAGGAGACUGAGGGGACAAAAACUAAAUGCAAUGUGGAAACUGACACCCUUUGAUACAGGAAACAAAAAAGACACUAGUGGAAAAACUGGUGGGAUUUGGUUAAGGUCUUCAGGUGACAGUAUCAAUUUCCUGGUUCUCAUCACUGCACUACAGUGGCAUACAAUGAUAAGAUUAAGGGAAGCUCAGUAAAGGGUCUAUGGACAUUUUCUAUAUUAUUUUAGCAAUUUUUGUAUAAAUCUAAAAUUAAUUCAAAAUAAAAAGUUAA